UCAAACCUGUGUUCUCAUGGAUACUAGUCAGGUUUUUUACCAAUGUGCCAUGACAGGAAUUCCAAGGCUUUCUUAUAUUCAGAUAUCUACAUAAUUAAUGUUUUCAAGUUUCUUAAAUUUACCUUGUUUUUGGCACAUAUGCAACCCAGAAAUUAACGAGUCCCUAGUAACACUACUAAGAACAGAUCUUCUUAUUUAUUUAGGAAUACUGUGUAUUUAAUGCUUUUAAUGAUGAGUGCCGUAUGUGUAUCCAAGUGAUUUGUCAUACGGUCCACCACUGCAUCAUUGACAGUGGGAUUUUUUUUCCAAGAGAGGAAGGCAUUUCUUUUUAGGGUUUGACCUUUCAGUUCUGCUCGUAACUAGGUAGUGUUGAUAGGAUCCAAAAUGAUACAGUUGACCAAGGGCAUCGUGAGGUGGACACCAGAAUAAUAAGUAUAUCAAACGCAUUCUCUAAAUGUGUUUCCAUGUUCAUGUCAGGUCAUGAUGGUUAGCCUAUCAAUGAAGUUAUCAUGGGAUGUGGCUGGUAUCUAGGUCAUACUAGCAUGUGGGCCUAAAUCACAUCACAGCCAUCUCUUCUUAAUGUACUUAGGUAGGUGAAGAUACUUGCAUUCCUAACUCUUCUGCUUAGCAUGAUUUUGUUGCAGGUAUUCUGGUAAGAAAUGCUAAGAGUCCACACCAAUUCCAGUAACCAUGACUUUAUGCUUUGUAUAUUUUAGUGGAAAUGUGUUCAAUCUUGCAAGUAUUGAAGAGUCAGUCAUAUCCAGGUAGUUACUGUGAAGUCUCCCCACUGUUAUAAUCAUUGGAUUUUUGCAGGUAUCCACUGAUCUCCCUGACAGCAGUGCUGACCUUGAAUGGAUGCAGAGAUCCAGGUAGAGAUGAUGUGUUCCAUAAUAACAGAGGCAAACAAGAUUAGGUGCUGGUGUUCUGGUAGAACAAGUUGUGCCUUAAACACAUUUGUUACAUGUAUUUCUUCUAGUUCCAGCUAAGAACAGGGUAAACCUAGCAAUGAUCACUACCAUAACCUUUUAGUAACCAGGUUAGUGUUAAAGUGAUCUUACAGCAAUGCAGACCAUCUGAACUUCAUUGUCUAGGUGAGUGAGGAUGGUGUCCCUAACAUUUGUGUUCUUGUCUUCUCUUUGCAGGUAUAAGGUUCAGAUCUUUGCUUGUGACACAGGUAUGGGAUGAUGUGAUAUUCACUAAUUAAAGACAUUCUUAUACUUAAAUGGCUACACAAUUCAUGAUUUCUCCUUUAUAUUUACUUUGUUUUUGACAUGUAAUCAGUUAGGAAUUUAACUUUCUCUAAUAAUACUAGUCAGAAUGGGAUUUUUUAUGUUUUUCUUUAAAGAUAUGCGUUGAGCAUAGUAGUGAUGGAUAGAUUUGCAGAGGGGACAUUGCUAAUGUCAAGGUCAGUGAUGAUGGAGCCUAAACCAGAGCAUAGGCCAUCAGAUCUCCAGGUAUCUGAGUAAGUGAUAAUGUGUUCUAACACUUCUUAUUACCAUGAUUUUUUUUUCAGGCAUCAGGGUAAAAAAUUAAAUAGAGUCCUUAUAAAUCUAGAAAACAAUAGUUUUCACUUUCUAUCUUAGAAAACGUUGAACACUCUUUGGUGUUGAGUGAUUGCACAUAUGCAGAUAUUUAAUAUGGUUUUCCCACCCAUAGUACUGCCCAUUGGUUUUUUUAAAGAUGUCCAGUCAAGAAGCCAUGGCUUCCCAACAUUGGUGUUGACCUUGGAUUAGUGCAAGUAUCCAGGUAGAGUUGAUGUGUGUCAUAAUGGUGAAGUGGCCAAAGUGUCCGGGUAGAAACAACACAUCUCAUGUCUUUUCCAGGUUCCUGUCCAAACAUCACUUUAAACUGAGCAUUGAUGUUCUGGGGACACAGUUGAGGUCCAGGAGAUGGACAUUCCUUCUGGUGGUCAUUCUCUGGGGACAUUUCUGGUGUCCAGGUAAGUAAUGAUGUUUACUUCCCCAAACAGACCAUCUCAUCUUUACAUAUCUGGGUCACUGUUAGAAUUAACUAAACUUAUUUAAAAUGUGGGGUUUUUUUUCCAGGUAAUCAGGUAAGAAAUGACGGUAUUUUUACCAAUCGUACCAAUCCUGAUAUGCUAUUGUGAAAUUUUAGAGAAAAUGUUCUCUUAGUCAUGGGUGAGUUGGAUAUCCACGUCAUGAUGAUGGAAUUGUGUGGCAUGUAGUAACCAUGGUACUUAUGCAGGUGAGCUGGGAAGAGGUGAUGGAAGAGGUGAUGGUACUUAUGCAGGUGAGCUGGCUUAGAUCUUGGAGUCCUGCAUGAAGCCAGGGAGAAGCAAUGGGUCCUGCAGUGACGGCCACGCACAAGGUUAUUUGAGCUAUCCUAGUAAAAAUGAUGCAUCCAUAGACUUAAUUGUCAUAAACGGUUUUCACAUUCUUGUCAGAAGUCACGGUGAAUCUCAAAAUGAUCAUGACUGGGACUUUGUCUCCCAGUAAGAGAUGCUUUGGGCCUUUAGCACUUACAAUCCUAUCUUCAAAUAUGUAGGUAGCUGUGAAGGGUGUUCCUAACUAUACUGUUACUGUGAGUUUUUUUAAAAGCAGAUAUUCAUUUAAGAAAUGACAUUGUCCCAACCAGUGUUAGUGCGUAUUGGCCUUUUUUUUUUUUUUAAAGAAUUUUGAUAUUAAUGCGUGUUUAAACUUAGUUGUAACAGAGGGUUAUACGCAGGUUCAGGUAAGUUAUUCUACUUUUGCCAUCUUAGUGAAAUUUCUACAGGUUCUCCUAGAAGAGAUGACAGUGUGCCUCACAAUGGUGUUGACCUUAAAGUUCUUCUAAAUCCAGGUAUUGCUUACACUUCCCCUAACGAUGCAUGCGACCAAGAUUAUCUGCAAAGGUAUUUAAUUUAAAGGUAUCAAGCAUGUCCUUUAACACAGUUGUGAAACGUGUUUCUCAAGGUUCUAGGCAUAAUCAUGACAUCACUAUGAACCAAAUGAUAGCUGUCAGUGGGACCUUGCUAGAAACCAUGUGGGCGAUAAAGUGGCUCUUAGCCUAGUACAGAUCAUUAGAUGUUCAGAUAUUAAGGCAGAUGAGAAUGGUGUUCUAACACAGUGUCCCAUGCCUUUUUGUAGGUUUCCCAUUAAGUUCUUUAUUGAGUGUACAUGUAAGAGAUGGUAUAUUAAUUUGUUAGAUACCUUCUUAUUUUCAGAUAUGCAGGUACGUAAUGGUGUUUUGAAGACUCUUAAAUUGACCUGGCUAUAGUAUGAAGCAUUUCAGAAAUUAUUUUGUCCAUCAUAGUAUUAAUAAGCAUGAGAAAUUGCUAUGUUCUUGUUCAGGGAUCAUUUUUUUUAUACUACUGUGAUGUUAUCCAGGUAAUUUAUUGUAUUUUCCAUCCCUACGAUAUUGAUGUUGGGAUUUUCAGGUAUCCCUUAAAAAGAGGAAGUUUUAUUAUGAGGGUUUGACCUUGGAUUUGUGCAGUCACCCAGAUAAGGUUUGUGCAUCCCUAAAUGGUAGAAAUGAUCCAUGGAAAUUGCAGGUGCACAGGUGAAAUGAGAUGUGUGUUGAACACAUUUUGUACAAUGUGUUUUUCAGAGUCAUGUCAAGAUAUCUAGGUGAGCUUAUCAAUGGCAGUUAACAUGUGACCAGGCUGGUGUCAAGGUAAGUAAUGGCCUGGGCCUAAAGCACAGCACAGACCAUCUGACCUUCAUAUAUCCAGCUAAGGGAUGGAUGAUGUGUCCUCACACUUAUGUUACCAUAUUUUAUGCAUGUAUUCAGGUAAGAAAUGAGGGAGUUUUACUAAUUCUAGAAAACAUGACAUUUCACUUUUUAUAUGAGAAAAAGUUGAAAUGUCCCCUGUGAGUAUUUAUGGAUGACACCUACCUAGAUAUUAAUCACGGUGUCCCUACCCCAGUACUAUCCAUAGAUUUUGUGCAGGUGUCCAGGGAAGUACUGGUGAUUUUAGCUGAAAUCAGUAUUAAUCUUUGAUUACUGAAAAUAUCCAGGUAUGGUUGGAGUCUUCCAUAAUAACUAAGUGACCAGGUUAUUUGCAGAUAUCCUGGCAGAAAAAAUUGUGUAUUUCCCACAGCUUUUGUCAUGUUUUUUUAUAUUCAUGUGCAGACAUUACUCUGAACCUGGCAUUGACGUUCACUGGGGACAGUGUUGGGAUGCAGGUAACAGGUGAUGUUGACCUAAAUCAUGGCACAGGCCGCAUGUUAUCCAUGUGGCCAGGUAAAUGAUGAUGGUGUCUCUAAGAGUUGUUAUUAACAUGAUUUCUUUGCUGGCAUCCAGGCAGGAAAUUAUCGAGUCCUUCCCAGUUCUAAAAACAAUUCAUUUUCACCUUUUGUAAUUUAGAGAACAUUGUGAUUAAACCCUGUGAGUGUCGAGGCAUUGCCAUUUCCAGGUAAUGAUCAUGAUGUUCUCAACCAGCAGUAACCAUGGCAAUUAUGCAGGUGGUACAUAAAGAGAAAUCAUUUUAUCUGGCAAUGGUUUAGAGCUCGGAGUACUGCGAGUGUGCAUUUGGAAUCAAUGUCCUCAUAAUGAGGAGUGACCAAGGUUACUGGCCGUGUCCCAGUAGAAUAAUUACAUCCCUUUACGUAUACAUCAUAAUGUCUUUUUUAGGGUCCUUUCGGGUGGUCUCUGUGAACCCGACAGUGGUCAUUAAUGGGCAACAUUUCUGGUCUCCAGAUGUGUCAUGAGAUGUACCUUCUCUGCAUCUGACUCGGGAUCUUCAUGUAUCUAGUUAAGUGGUGUUGAUUGCUUGAACUUGUUUUAUCGUAUGGUGUUUUUCAGGUAUUCGGGUAGAAAUGACAAUAGUGUUUUUACCAAUUUUAGCAAAUAUAUUACCUUUAUUAUAUUUAUGAAGAAAUUUUGGCUUAAUCAUGUCAAUGUUGAGCGAUCCAUGGGUAUUCAUGUAAGAAAUAUGGAGUUUGGGGUCACCUAAGUUACCAUGGAUUUUUGCAGAGAAACAGUCAAAACAUGGUGGUGUCUGACAGUGGCGUGGAUUCCAGGUAGAGUUGAUGGGUCCUAAAGUGAAGGAAGUGACAAGGUAAUGUGUAGUGUCAUCUUAGCAAAGGUAUUGUGUAGACACAUUUAUCACAAUUUGUUUUUCAGGUUUCUGUUAAGAAAUCAUGGUAAACCUGAUAAUGGUCAAUAAUGGCACUUUGCUUUUAUUUGGCUAAGUGAUGAUGUGAGUCUUUGGUCCCCUACAGAUCAUCUCCCCAUCUGAUAUGUAGGUUUGUGUGGAUGGUUUACCUAACUUUUCUGUUAGUAUAGUCUGUUAGUAUGUUUUUUUGUUUGUUUGUUUGUUUUUUACAGCUAUUCUGUUAAGAAACAGUGUUGUCCCAAACAAUGCUGGUAACCACUUUAGAGUUUAGAUGUAAUGUUUGUUUGACCUUAGUGGUGAUGAACGGGUGUCCAGGUAAGUUGUCCUACUAUUCCACACCAACCAAGAGAGUUUUACAGGUGCUCAGACAAGAGAUGAUCAUUUCCUUAACAAUGAGGUUGACUUUGACAUUCUUCCUGGAUCCACAUAGUAUUGAUGGAUCCCCUGAUGAUAGAAAUAACCAGAAUUAAUUAGAGGUAUCCUUUAGGCCAAACAAUUUUUUCUUUAAACACCCUUGUCAAAUGUGUUCUUACCAGGUUAUAUUAAUGAUGACAUUACAGCGAACCUAGUAAUGAUCAUUAAAGGCACCCUGCUAGUAUUGAGGAUCUUACACCGCAAUAGAGACCAACUGGUCUUCAGAUGUCAAAGUAAGCAAGGAUGAUGUCCCAAACCCCAAACCCAUUGAUAGCAUGUUUUUUUCCUGCAGAUACCCUGUUGAAGUGUUCGUUAGUGUAAAGGUAUGAGAUGUCACAUUAAUUCAUUAGACCUGUGUAUUUUCGGAUAGGUAGAUAAUGAAUGAUAUUUUGAAGACUCUUUACAUUUUAACUUAUAGUUAACUGUAUUAACUAUAUUUUUGGCUUGUAUGCAGUAUGAUAUUAAUUUGUCCUUUACAAUGCUACUAAGCACGAUAUUUUCUUAUAUUCAUGUUCCAAAAUACCGUUUUAUCCACUCAUAGAGAUAAAAGGAUAUAUAGAUAUAUCCUUUCAUACUGUUCAUCACCACAGUGCAGACCAUGGAAUUUCGACAUAGCUCUUCAAGAGAAGAAGGUAUCUAUCACCUACUAGGGUUUAGUCCUAGACUUCUACAAGGAUGCAAGAGAUGGUAAUGGGUCUCACAGUUAUGCAAUGGACCAGGGCAUCUGAAGGUGGACACUAGAAUAAUACAUAUAUCAAAUGCAUCGUCUAAUUAUGUUUUCAGGUUCAUGUCAAGACGUGAUGAUGAGCCUAUUAAUGUAGUUCACGUUGCUGAUAUCUAGGCGAGUGAUGGUGUGGGCCUAUCCCGCAUCACAGACCAUCUCUUUUUCGUGUACAUAGGUAAGUGAAGAUGCUCGCAUUCCCAACAAUUCUUGUUAGCAUGAUUUGAUUGCAGGUAAGAAAUGCUAAGAGUCCAUACUAAUUCCAGUAGCCAUGACUUUAUGCUUUGUAUAUUUUAGUGGAAAUGUGUUCAAUCUUGCAAGUAUUGAAGAGUCGGUCAUAUCCAGGUAGUUGUCGUAAAGUCUCCCCACUGUUAUAAUCAUUGGAUUUUUGCUGGUAUCCAGUUAAGUGACACUAAUCUCUUCUGACAGCAGUGCUGACCUUGAAUGGAUGCAGAGAUCCAGGUAGAGAUGAUGUGUUCCAUAAUAACAGAGGCAAACAAGAUCAGGUGCCAGUGUCCUGAUAGAACAAGUUGUGCCUUAAACACACUUGUUGUGUGUAUUUCUUGGAGAACAGGGUGAGCCUAGCAGUGAUGACUAAUAUCUUUCUACUAACCAGGAAAAUGUGAAAGUGGGUCUUACCAAGGUGCCACAAUGCAGACCAUCGAACUUCACUGUCUAGGUGAGUGAGAAUGGUGUCCCUAACAUUUGUGUUCCUGUCUUUUUUUGCAGGCGUGAGGUUCAGAGAUGAUGUGAUAUUCGCUGAUUAAAGACAUUCUUAUAUACAGAUGGCUACAUAACUCAUGAUUUUAGUCUUUUAUGUUCACUUUGUUUUUGACAUGUAAUCAGGAAUUUAAUUUUCCCUAAGAACUCUAGUCAGAAGGAGAUUUUUUCGUAUAUUGUGUAAAGGUAAAUUGUAUCAAGCAUCGUAGUGAUGGACAGGUUUGCAGAGGUGACAUCGCUAGUGUCAAGGUCAAUGAUGAUGGAGCCUAAACCAGAGCACAGGCCAUCGGAUCUCCAGGUAUCUGAGUAAGUGAUGAUGUGUCCUAACACUUCUUAUUACCACAAUUUUUUUUCAGGCAUCAGGGUGAAAAAUAAUAGAGUCCUUAUCAAUCUAGAAAACAAUAGUUUUCAUUUUAUAUUUUAGAAAGAGUUGAGCACUCUUUGGUGUUGAGUGAUUGCACAUAUGCAGAUAUUUAAUAUGGUUUUCCCACUACAGUACUGCCAUAGUUUUGUUUUCUUUUUAAACAGUUGUCCAGUCAAGAAACUCUGGCUUCCCAACCUUGGUGUUGACCUUGGAUUAGUGAAAGUAUCCAGGUAGAGUUGAUGUGUCUCAUAAUGGUGAUGUGAUCAAGGUGUCUGGACAGAAAGGAUACAUCUUGUGUAUUUUCCAGGUUCCUAUCCAGAUAUCACUCUGAAACAAGGAUUGAUGUUAAUGGUGGCCACUGUUGGGGUCCAGGUUCCUGUCAAGAGAGAGACAUUCUGGUGGUUGUUCUCUGGGGACAUUUCUGUGCCCAGGUAUGUAAUGAUGUGCACCUUCCCCUAACAGACAUCUCAUCUUCUCAUAUCUAGGUCAGUGUUAGGAUUGAAUAAACUUAUUUACCAUGUGUUUUAUUUUCAAGAAGUCAGGUAAGAAAUCAUAGUAUGUUUACCAGUUGUAGCAAUCCUGAUAUGCUACUGUCUGUGAUCUUAGAGAAAAUGUAUGCUUAGUCAUGGGAGUGUUGAGUGGCUGGUGGGUAUCCACACCAUGACAGUGGAAUUGUGUGGUACACUAGUAACCAUGGUGCUUUGGCAAGUAAGCUGGGAAGAGAUGAUGCUGUGUCGAAAUUUGGCAUAGAUCUUGGAGUCCUACAUGAAUCCAGGGAGAACCGAUGGGUCCUGCAGUGAUGGCCACCCAUAAGGCUGUUUGAAAUUUCCUGGUAGAAAAGGUACGUCCAUAGACAUAUCUGUCACAAAAGGCUUUUUACAGUCUGGUCAAGAAGUCAUGGUGAAUCUCAAAAUGAUCUUGAAUGGAACUUUGCUUCUCUCCAGAUAAGUGUUGCUAUGGCAUUUAGCACCUAUAAUAUGAUCUUCAGAUAUGUAGGUCUGAGGGAGGGUGUUCCUAAUUAUUCUGUUACCAUCUUGUUUUAUUUAAGCAGCUAUUCAUUUAAGAAGUGGCAUUUUCCAUCACAACCUUGUAGAUCAACUAUAGUUCAGUAAAACUUUAAAAAAUGGGGAAAAAAAAGAAAUUGACGUAGUCACAACUAGUGCUUGUAAGUAUUUGCCUUUUUUUUUUUUAAAGAUUUUUGAUAUAGUGUGUAUUUAAACUUAGUAGUAACAGAGGGUUAUUCAGGUCCAGGUAAUUUAUUCUACUUUUGCAGUGUUAACCAUGACAUUUCUACAGAUUCUCCUAGAAGAGAUGAUACUGUGCCUCACAAUGGUGUUGACCUUAAAGUUCUUCCAAGGUUCAUAUAGUGCAUACGCUCCUCUAAUGAUGGAAGCAAGCAAGAUUAUCUUCAAAGGUACUUAUUUGGCAGAUAAAUAAGAAUGUCCUUUAACACAGUUGUCUAAUGCAUUUCUCAAGGUUCUAGUCAGCAUCGUGAAUAUAAUUAACCAAAUAAUAGUUGUCAGUGGGACCUUGUUAGAAACCAGGUUGGUGAAAAGGUGGCUUCCAGCCCAGUACAGAUCAUUAGAUGUUCAGUUAUCGAGCACGUAAGAAUGGUGUCUAACACAGUGCACCACACUUUUUUGUAGGUUUCCCAUUACUUUCUUUGUCUAGUGUACAGGUAUGAGAUGAUGUGACAUUAAUUCAUUAGAUACCAUCUUUUCUUCAGAUACGUAGUUAGUGAUGUUGACCUUGAAGAUCUUUCAAGAUCCACAGAGUAUCAAGGAUUCCCCUGAUGAUAGAAAAAUAACCAGAAGUAAUUACGUGUAUUCUUCAGGUAAAACAUUUUUUUCCUUAAAACCCUUGUCAGUUGUGUUCUUACAUGUUAUAGUAGUGAUGACCCUAUAGCAGACCUAGGAAUGGUCAUCAAUGGGACCCUGCUAGUAACCAGGUAAGUGAUAUUGAGGGUCUUGCAGCCCAGUAUAGACCAUCUGGUCUUCAGAGAUGUCUGUGUAAGUGAGGAUGAUGUCCCCAACACCAGACACAGUGAUACUGUGUUUUUUCCUGCAGGUACCCUGUUAAAGUGUUUGCUAGUAUGAAGGUAUUUUCAGAUAAAUAAGGAAUAAAUGAUAUUUUGCAGACACUUUAUAGUUUAUCUUACACUUAACUAUAUUAACUAUAUUUUUGGCUUGUAUGCAGUAAAGCUAUUAAUCUGUCAUUAACAUACUCGUAAGCAUGAUAUUUUCCUACAUUCGAGUUCCAAAAUACCAUUUUACCCACCUCUACUGACAAAAGGAUAUGCAGAUAUCCAGGAAAUUUAUCAUACUGUUCAUCACCGCAAUAUAGACCGUAGAAUUUCGAGGUAGCCUUUCAAGAGAAGAAGGCAUCUCUUACUAAGAUUUAGUCCAGGUAAUGGCGAUGAGUCUCACAGUUAUGCAGUGGAACAAAGGGAUCUGAAGGUGGACACUAGAAUGAUAUGUACUUCAAGCACAUCCUCUAAAUGCGUCUUCAGGUUCGUGAUGGUAAGCAUCUCAAUGUAGUUAAAGUUGCUGGUAUCUAGGUGAGUGAUGGUGUGGGCCUAACCCACAUCAUAGACCAUCUCUGCCUCAUGUAUGUGGGUAAGUGAAUAUGCUUGCCUUCCUAACACUUCUUCUUAAAAAGAUUUUUUUGCAGGUAUUCAGCUGAGAAAUACUAAGAGUUCAUACUAAUUCCAAUAACCAUGAGUUUACGCUUUGUGUAUUUUAGUGAAAAUAUGUUUUAUCUUGUAAGUAUUGAGGAGUCAGUUAUGUUCCCAGUAGUUGUUGUGAAGUCUCCUCACUGUUGUAACCAUUGGAUUUUUACAGGAAUCCAGGAAAGUGAUACUGAUCUCUUCUGACAGCAGUGUUGACCUCGAAUGAAUGCAGAGAUCCAGGUAGCAAUGAUGUGUUCCAUGAUAACGGAGGUGCACACGGUUAGAUGCAGGUGUCCUGGUAGAACAGUGUUUGUCUUACACAGAUUUGUUGCAUGUAUUUCUUCAGGAUCCUGUUAAGACAACAGGGUAAACCUAGCAGUGUGAUGACUAACAAAAGCUUUCUAGUAACCAGGUAAGUGUGAAAGUGGGUCUCACCACAGUGCACACCAUCUGAACUUCAGGGUCUAGGUGAAUGAGGAUGGUGUCCCUAAUAUUUGUGUUCAUGUCUUCUUUUUGCAGGUGUCAGGUUCAGAUCUUUCCUUGUCACACAAGGAUGAGAUGAGGGGAUAUUCACUAAUUAAAGACAUUGUUAUAUUCCGAUGGCUACGUGAUUCAUGAUCAGUCUUUUAUAUUUACUUUGUUUUUGGCAUGUUAUCAGAUUUGGCUUUCCAACAUUGGUAUUGACCUUGAAUUACUGCAAGUAACCAGGUAGAGUUGAUGUGUCUCAUAAUGGUGACGUGACCAAGAUGUGUAGGUAGAAAGGACACAUUUCCUAUCUUUUACAGGUUCGUGUCCACACAUCACUCUGAACUGAGCAUUAAUGUUAACAGGGGACACGGUCGGGGUCCAGGUUUAUGAUGAUUGUGACCCUGUCACUUGUUACCAUGGCUUCUCUGCAGGUAUUCAGGUAAUGGUUGGUUCCUUACCAAUUCUUAAUACCAUGAACUUUCAGUUUUCAUGCUUUAGAGAGUAUCUUUAACUCUGUGACUCAUGAGCAAUUACACAUAGCAGGUAUUGAUUAUGAUUGCUCAAGCACAGUAGUGAUCAUGGAAUUUCUGCAGGUAUCUUGUAAAGAAGUGUUAUUUCCUGACAAGGGUCAUGCCCUAGGAGAACUGCAAAUAUUCAAGUAGAGUUGAUCAUAAUGCUGUCAAUGACGGAGCUUGUUUGCAAGUGUCCUAGUAGAGUAAGCUAUGUCCUUUUAUACGUGUAUCAUAAUGUGCUUUUCAGGUUCUGCCAAGAGAUGAAUAUUCAUUCUGAUGGUCAUUCUCUGGGGACAUUUCUUUGUCUGGGUAGGUAAUGAUGUGCACCUUUCCCAGCAGACAUUGCAUCUUCUCAUAUCUAGGUCUCUGUUCGGAUUGACUAAAUUUACUUAUCAUGUGGAUUUUUUCAGGUAAUCAGAUAAGAAAUGAUAGUAUUUUUACCAAUGGUAGCAAUCCUGAUAUGCUGCUGUUUGCAAUUUUAGAAAAAAAAUGUAUGCUUACUCAUGGGAGUGUUCAGUGGCUCUUGAAUAUCCACAUCAUGAUGGUGGAAUUGUGUGGCACAGCAGUAACCAUGGUGCUUUUGCCAGGGGGCUGGGAGGAGACGCUGGCGUGUCGAACUUUGGCACAAAGCUUGGAGUCCUGCAUGAAGCCAGAGAGAACCGAUGGGUCCUACAGUGAUGGCUACACACAGGGUUAUUUGAAGAGUCCUAGUAGAAAUUGUGCCUCCAUACACAUAACUGUCACAAGGGGCUCUUUGCAUUCUAGUCAAGAAAUCACAGUGAAUCUGAAAAUGAUCCUGAAUAGGCCUUUGAUGUCUCCAGAUAUUCAUUUCAGAAAUUAAUCACAAACUUGUCAGAUUCCCUGUUGUGGCUCAGUGGUAAUGAACCUGACUAGUAUACAUGAGGACUCAUGUUCGGUCCCUGGCCUCGCUCAGUGGGUUAAGGAUCCGGCGUUGCUAUGGUGAGCUACAGUGUAGGUCGCAGACAUGGCUCGGAUCUGUCGUUGCUGUGGCUGUGGCUUAGGCUGGUGGCUGUAGCUCCAGUUUGAGCCCUAGCCUGGGAACUAUGCUGUGGUUGUGGACCUAAAAAGACCAAGAAAAAAAAAGAAAAGAAAUGACUCAUAAACUUGUAAAUCACCUAUAUUUCAAUUAAACUUUUAAAAAUGAAGAAAAAAGGAAGUGACAUUGUUCCAACCAGUGUAGUAAGUAUUUUUCCCUCUCUCCCCCCUUUUUAGAAUUUUGAUAAAAUGUGCAUUUAAACUUAGUAGUGACGGAGGGUUAUGAAGGUCCAUGUAACUUACUCUGUCGUUGCAGCCUUAACCGUGGGAUUUUUACAGUUUCUCCUAGAAGAGAUGCUACUGUGCCUCUCAAUGGUGUUGACCGUAAAGUUUUUCUAAGAUCUGGGUACUGCUUAUGCUUCCCCAGUGAUGGAAGUAACCAAAAUAAGUGACCAAGGUACUUAUUUUGCAGGUAAGCAAGUUUCUUCUUUAGCACAGUUGUAGAACUCGUUUCUCAAGGUUCUGGCAGUCAGCAUAACAUGACAGUGAACCAAAUAAUAGUUGUCAGUGGGACCUUGCUAGAAACCCGGUAUGUGAUAAAGUAGAUCUUACCCCAGUGCAGGUCAUUUGAUGUUGAGAUGUUGAGGCAAAUGAGAAUGGUGUCCCUAACACAGUGUACCAUGCUUUUUUUGUAGGUUUUCCCUUUAAAUUCUUUGCCAGGCGUACAGGUAUGAAGGUAUGAGAUGAUAUUAUAUCAAUUCGUUAGAUGCCUUCUUAUUUUCAGAUGUGCAGGUACGUCAUGAUGUUUUGAAGACUCUUACAUUAACCUGGUUUUGGCAUGGAGCAUUUCAGAAAUGAAUUUCUGCCUUAUAAUAUUAGUAAGCUUGAGAAUUACUGUAGUCUUGUUCAGGGAUUUAUUAUUUUUUUAACACUACUGUGAUGGUAUCAGGUUAAUUUAUUACAUUUCCCAUCCCUGUAAUAUUGACCAUGGAAUUCUUGCAGGUGUCCCUUCAAAAGAGGAAGUUUCUCUUAUUAAGGUUUGACCUUGGUAUUCUGCCGUCCCCCAGGUAAGGUUUGUGCAUCCCUAAAUGGUAGAAAUGAUCCAUGGAGUUUGCAGGUGCACAGGUGAAAUGAGAUGUGUGUUGAACACAUUUUGUACAAUGUGUUUUUCAGAGUCAUGUCAAGAUAUCUAGGUGAGCUUAUCAAUGGCAGUUAACAUGUGACCAGGCUGGUGUCAAGGUAAGCAAUGGCCUGGGCCUAAAGCAUAGCACAGACCAUCUGACCUUCAUAUAUCCAGCUAAGGGAUGAUGUGUCCUCACACUUAUGUUACCAUAUUUUAUGCAUGUAUUCAGGUAAGAAAUGAGGGAGUUUUACUAAUUCUAGAAAACAUGACAUUUCACUUUUUAUAUGAGAAAAAGUUGAAAUGUCCCCUGUGAGUGUUGAAGGAUCCCACGUAUAUAGAUAUUAAUCAUGGUGUCCCCACUCCAGUACUAGCCAUAGGUUUUGUGCAGGUGUCAAGGGACGUACUGGUGAUUUUAGCUGACAUCAGUAUUGGUCUUUGAUUUGACAAUAUCCAGGUAGGGUUAGAGUAUUCCAUAAUGACUAAGUGACCAGGUUAUUUGCAGUUAUCCUUAUAGAAAUAGUUGUCCUUCCCACAGCUUUUGUCAUGUCUUUUUCAUGUUCCUGUCCAGGCAGUACUCUUAAUCUGGCAUUGAUGUUAACAGGUGCACAGUUGGGAUGCAGGUAAGUGGUCAUAUGGGCGUAAAUCACGGCACAUGCCAGGUGAUCUCCAGGUAGCCAGGUAAAUGAUGAUGGUGUCUCUAAGAGUUGUUAUUAACAUGAUUUCUUUGCUGGCAUCCAGGCAGGAAAUUAUCGAGUCCUUCCCAGUUCUAAAAACAAUUCAUUUUCACCUUUUGUAAUUUAGAGAACAUUGUGAUUAAACCCUGUGAGUGUCGAGGCAUUGCCAUUUCCAGGUAAUGAUCAUGAUGUUCUCAGUAACCAUGGCAAUUAUGCAGGUGGUACAUAAAGAGAAAUCAUUUUAUCUGGCAAUGGUUUAGAGCUCGGAGUACUGCGAGUGUGCAUUUGGAAUCAAUGUCCUCAUAACGAGGAGUGACCAAGGUUACUGGCCGUGUCCCAGUAGAAUAAUUACAUCCCUUUACGUAUACAUCAUAAUGUCUUUUUUAGGGUCCUUUCGGGUGGUCUCUGUGAACCCGACAGUGGUCAUUAAUGGGCAACAUUUCUGGUCUCCAGAUGUGUCAUGAGAUGUACCUUCUCUGCAUCUGACUCGGGAUCUUCAUGUAUCUAGUUAAGUGGUGUUGAUUGCUUGAACUUGUUUUAUCGUAUGGUGUUUUUCAGGUAUUCGGGUAGAAAUGACAAUAGUGUUUUUACCAAUUUUAGCAAAUAUAUUACCUUACUUUACUAUAUUUACAAAGAAAUUUCGGUUUAAUCAUGUCAUUGUUGAGUGAUCCAUGGAAAAAAUUACGUGGAUACCUAUAUACUUGCUUUUAUCUCUGGAGGGGAUAAAAUGGUAUUUUGGAACAGAAAUAUAGGAAAAUAUCACGCUUACUAGUGUUGUUAAGGGCAGUACUUGUACUGCAAACAAGCCAAAAAAUAUAGUUAAUAUAGUUAACUAUAAGUUAAAGCAUAAAGAGUCUUAAAAAUGUCAUUUGUUACAACAUAUGUGAAAGUAGGUCUAAUGAAUUAAUGUGACAUCUCAUACGUUGACACUAGCAAACACUUUC